rnacentral:antisense_RNA from 1 species
UGUUAUGGCGGCUGUGUGCGGGGCACUUUCGAGUGCACCGAGUCUUGUCAGCUCUCCUCGGUCUGUCAACCCGCGCGCAGCUGCCACCCUU